UACGAAGGGGGCUAGCGUUGCUCGGAAUUACUGGGCGUAAAGGGAGCGUAGGCGGACAGUUUAGUCAGAGGUGAAAGCCCAGGGCUCAACCUUGGAAUUGCCUUUGAUACUGGCUGUCUUGAGUAUGGGAGAGGUGUGUGGAACUCCGAGUGUAGAGGUGAAAUUCGUAGAUAUUCGGAAGAACACCAGUGGCGAAAGGCGAC
rnacentral:rRNA from 1 species